rnacentral:misc_RNA from 1 species
AAAUGCGAUAAGUAGUGUGAAUUGCAGAAUUCAGUGAAUCAUCGAAUCUUUGAACGCACAUUGCGCCCCUUGGUAUUCCAUGGGGCAUGCCUGUUCGAGCGUCAUUUGUACCCUCAAGCUCUGCUUGGUGUUGGGUGUUUGUCCCCGUCUCCGCGCGUGGACUCGCCCCAAAGUGAUUGGCAGCCGGCGUACUGGUCCCGGAGCGCAGCACAUGUCGUGCAAACGAGUGCCUUGGUACGGCGGCGUCCAUAAGCCCCUCUCUCACGCUCUUGACCUCGGAUCAGGUAGGGAUACCCGCUGAACUUAAGC